rnacentral:tRNA from 1 species
CGCGGGGUAGCUCAACCAGGUAGAGCACGCGGCUCAUAACCGCGACGUUGCCGGUUCAAAUCCGGCCCCCGCAACCA